UACGAGGGGGGCUAGCGUUGCUCGGAAUCACUGGGCGUAAAGGGUGCGUAGGCGGGUCUUUAAGUCAGGGGUGAAAUCCUGGAGCUCAACUCCAGAACUGCCUUUGAUACUGAGGAUCUUGAGUACGGGAGAGGUGAGUGGAACUGCGAGUGUAGAGGUGAAAUUCGUAGAUAUUCGCAAGAACACCAGUGGCGAAGGCGGCUCACUGGCCCGUAACUGACGCUGAGGCACGAAAGCGUGGGGAGCAAACAGG
rnacentral:rRNA from 1 species